CGGACGGGUGAGUAAUGUCUGGGAAACUGCCUGAUGGAGGGGGAUAACUACUGGAAACGGUAGCUAAUACCGCAUAACGUCGCAAGACCAAAGAGGGGGACCUUCGGGCCUCUUGCCAUCGGGUGUGCCCAGAUGGGAUUAGCUAGUAGGUGGGGUAACGGCUCACCUAGGCGACGAUCCCUAGCUGGUCUGAGAGGAUGACCAGCCACACUGGAACUGAGACACGGUCCAG
rnacentral:rRNA from 1 species